UACGAAGGGGGCUAGCGUUGCUCGGAAUUACUGGGCGUAAAGCGCACGUAGGCGGCUUCUUAAGUCGGUGGUGAAAUCCUGGAGCUCAACUCCAGAACUGCCUUCGAUACUGGGAGCUCGAGUCCGGGAGAGGUGAGUGGAACUGCGAGUGUAGAGGUGAAAUUCGUAGAUAUUCGCAAGAACACCAGUGGCGAAGGCGGCUCACUGGCCCGGUACUGACGCUGGAGACGCGAAAGCGUGGGGAGCGAACAGG
rnacentral:rRNA from 1 species